CCGCCCCUUCGGGGAGCGGGUCACUGGCCUCCUAUGUUCCUAACGGUCCUCAUCCGCGAGGGUGGGGAAUCAACCGCUAGGAUCGUUUACUUUGAGGAAAUUAGAGUGUUCAAAGCAGGCGUAACUCGCCUCCGAAUACGUUAGCAUGGGAUAAUGGAAUACGACUUCGGUCUUGUUUCGUUGGUUUCGCUUGGCUGAAGUAAUGAUUGAUAGGGACAGUUGGGGGCAUUAGUAUUUAGUUGUCAGAGGUGAAAUUCUAGGAUUUACUAAAGACUGACCAAUGCGAAAGCAUUUGCCAAGGAUGUUUUCAUUAAUCAAGAACGAAAGUAGGGGGAUCGAAGACGAUCAGAUACCGUCGUAGUCUCUACCGUAAACUAUGCCGACCAGGGAUCCGGAGAGUUUGCAUGGAUGACUCCCCGGGCACCUUGUGAGAAAUCAUAAGUGUUUGGGUUUUGGGGGGAGUAUGGUCGCAAGGCUGAAACUUAAAGGAAUUGACGGAAGGGCACCACCAGGAGUGGAACCUGCGGCUUAAUUUGACUCAACACGGGGA
rnacentral:rRNA from 1 species